GACGAACGCUGGCGGCGCGCCUAACACAUGCAAGUCGAACGAGCGAGAGAGAGCUUGCUUUCUCGAGCGAGUGGCGAACGGGUGAGUAACGCGUGAGGAACCUGCCUCAAAGAGGGGGACAACAGUUGGAAACGACUGCUAAUACCGCAUAAGCCCACGACCCGGCAUCGGGUAGAGGGAAAAGGAGCAAUCCGCUUUGAGAUGGCCUCGCGUCCGAUUAGCUAGUUGGUGAGGUAACGGCCCACCAAGGCGACGAUCGGUAGCCGGACUGAGAGGUUGAACGGCCACAUUGGGACUGAGACACGGCCCAGACUCCUACGGGAGGCAGCAGUGGGGAAUAUUGCACAAUGGGGGAAACCCUGAUGCAGCGACGCCGCGUGGAGGAAGAAGGUCUUCGGAUUGUAAACUCCUGUUGUUGAGGAAGAUAAUGACGGUACUCAACAAGGAAGUGACGGGUAACUACGUG
rnacentral:rRNA from 1 species